rfam:Flavobacterium psychrophilum JIP02/86 complete genome
UGAUAGCCCAGAUAGUAGUGAAAAUCCUUUUGUUUUUUUCUUUAAAAAACAAAAGAUUGUAACGGAUAGCUGGAAAUAGC